CUUGAAGCAUCUUGUAUCCAUAUGUUGGCGAUAAACUGGAGAUUAGGGAGGCACUAUUUAAUGUAUUAAUCUGUUGUAUAAAUACACUAGGUUGAGCAAAGAUGAAGAAGAUAUUCUGUGGGCAACAGGCAAAGAAAAUAUUUCUAGGCUCUUCUGCAUAAGUUUUCCUUCUCCCAGAUUGCUAUCUUCAGCAUCAUCAGAUUUCUUUGCCUCUCAGUCUAUGGACUGAUCUUUCUCCUACCAAAGCCAGAGAUCUGGAAAACAAACUAAACUGACCCCUGAACCAGACACUACAGAGCCCUGCAGAUACGAAUUUGAAUGGUGAUGUUUUGGAAUAUGAGUUUAGUUAUGGAGCCAGCUAUUCAGGAGUGGGAAAAACCUGUCCCUGAAACUGAACAAUCCUGAACUUUAAGAUGAGGCAAGAGAGAGCUGUUUCCCCCACAGCUGCAAAAAAGUGGACUCCUGCAAAGCAAACAACAGUAUCUGUGCCCCAGCUGAGUGACCGCUGCCACAGAGCAGUAGUGGCUGCCUGGUGUCAUCAGAAGGAACAGGAGCACCAUGCAUUCACCUGUGCAGGUGGGGAGCCGAGGAAGCCUGCUGAGUGCCACCUGGCCUUUCCCUGCUGCCUCUGUUGCCAGAAGUGAAGUCCAGCCCUGUGCAGAGGAUACAGCACUGCGUCCCCCUGCCACUUGAUUCCUCCUCAAUCCCCGUGUGCAAGGGUUGCACUCCAUUAGCCACAUAGGUCUUUGUCCUGGCCUUCUGCACUGACUUGUCUUAUUUUUUCUAUCAUCCCACUUAGAUGUCAACAGAUGAAAUAGCUUCCUGGGUGCCUGUGAUUUAAUACAGUGAGAAAAUACAAACGGUGAUACUUGAUUAAUAACUCACAUCCCUCCCUCACAAUGCACUGUUUUCUAAUCCAUGGUUGUUUCAAACAAUAGAGAAAGAAAGCAUGGCCACAUGGGAGCUGUUAUGUUCUUGCAUGAAGGUAGAAUUGAAGAAGCUAGUCCUAGAAAGCAUUUUUUCUAAUUCUCAGGCUACAUAUUUUUAUUUUCAAAGCUUUUUAAACAUGAUGAAAACCCCAAAUCGUUGUCAGAAUGGUCUGACUCUGCAAGAUUCUUCUCCAGUAUUUCUUAUCAGAACUAUAAUUGAUUUUUUUUUAGACCAACCACAAUGGGUUUUCUCAGUCGAAAAUAACUUUUCAUCCAACAAU